UGAACGCUGGCGGCGUGCUUAACACAUGCAAGUCGAACGAACCUUCGGGUUAGUGGCGGACGGGUGAGUAAUACAUGAGAAUUUUCCUUGCAGUACGGAAUAACUAUUGGAAACAGUAGCUAAUACCGUAUAUUGCCGAGAGGUGAAAGAUUUAUCGCUGCAAGAUAAGCCCAUGCAAGAUUAGCUUGUUGGUAAGGUAAUGGCUUACCAAGGCUACGAUCUUUAGCUGGUUUGAGAGGAUGAUCAGCCACACUGGAACUUAGACACGGUCCAGACUCCUACGGGAGGCAGCAGUGAGGAAUAUUGGACAAUAGGCGAAAGCCUGAUCCAGCGACGUCACGUGAAUGAUGAAGGCCUUAGGGUUGUAAAAUUCUUUUAGUGGAGAAGAUAAUGACGGUAUCCACAGAAAAAGUCCCGGCUAACUUCGUGCCAGCCGCCGCCGUAAUAC
rnacentral:rRNA from 1 species